rnacentral:antisense_RNA from 1 species
CGCACGGUGUAGUCCCAGGUGGUGGCCGCCUCGACGAGCACCUCGUCGCCGAAGAACUCGCCGUCGCUGAGGAUGCCCAGCGACCGCUCGUCGUCGUAGGUGCCCGGGGCGUGUCUCUCGGCCUUCCCGUGGGCGAUGAGGAAGACCUCGUCGGCGGCGUCGCCGGCCGACACGAGGACGUCGCCGGCCGAGUACUCGCGCUGGACGAAGCCGUCCGCGAGGGCGGUGAGCUCCGGGCCGUCGAACCCGCGCAGCGGCGGCAGCUCGGUGAGCUCGGCCGGCACGACCCGGACGUCCGACCCGGUGCUGAUGAAGGUGACGAGGCGGUCGCCCGCGACGUAGGUGAGCCGCCGGUUGACGCGGUAGACGCCGCCAGCGGUCUGUACCCAGGGCAGGACGCGCAGCAGCCAGCGGGAGGAGAUCUCCUGCAUCUGCGGGACGGACUUGGUGGUCGUCGCGAGAUUCCGCGCGGCCGCGGUGCUGAGGCUCAGCUGGUUGUCAG